GCGCAGUCUCCUCUAUCCUCUCCUCACAAGCGGAUCCGGCGCUGCUGCUACAGCCCGCGCCGCCGCCGCCUCCGCUCGCCGCUGCGGAUCCACCGCCGCCCCCGCUACAGCCUGCCGUCACCCCUCCACCCUUCCGCUCACCGCUGCCUCCGUCUUCGCGACGGUCCUCCCAAGCUAACGAGGCUGACAACCCGAGCGGCGGCUGCGAUGGCUUGAGCGUUUGCGAGACCGGAUGGUAGCCGCGGCUGUGCGCGGCCGCAUCAGUAGUUGCGUUAGAGGAUGGAGCGGCAGUUGCAUGGGCGUCCUUCAUUGAUCCCCUCCGCGGAACUUUCUUGUCACUUCUCGCUCAGCCCCCACGGUGCCGCUCGCCGUGCCCGACUAGACCGCCCCGUGCUCCACCAAGCCCACCACGACGCUGGCUACCAUGGCACCUAGGACGGCAGUCCCUCCUGCCGACGGCUGCGCGGCGGCCGUGUGGAGCAAAGCUAGACAGCGCUGGCCAGGGGCGACGGUGGCGGGGUUGUGUGUACAGAGGCGUUGGAACGGGGUGGCGAGGUGAAGAGGAUAAGUUCGAGCAGCCUCAGCGCAUGCGUGUGUGGUACUGCUGCUUCGCCACAGUCCAGGCUAUGAGAUUUGGGCAGAGAGCCAGAGAGAUAAGAACACAGAGUUGCUUGGCUUGAAGAUACAGAACCAAAUUGUCUUCGCCCACGUCCAGCCGCAUUCGUCGGAUCUGGGUUUUCUAUGUACCUGUGUGGCUGUGUUCGGUGCAAGAAAAAGAUUUUUGCGAGGACAUUGGAGAUAUGAUGAACUACUUGGAAGAGUGAAGUUUUCAGUGUCCAGGAAAAAUUCUUGAGAUGACGGAAACGAAUUUCCCUCUCAAGAAAAGGUGGAAUACGAAUUGGAUGGAAAGCUAGAGCUGGAGCAGGUAGAGCAUGGUGGAGGGUCUGCUUCUACCUCUCUGGCCUCUCGACCGGAUCAUAUAUGUUUUGCGGCUCCGCGGCUCCAUUAAUGGCAGUAGUGCGCUUGUGCCAUCCAUGUCUGAUUCGUGCAGCCAUCAUCUGUAGCAUUUGUUGGAGCCAUCAUCCAAAACAGUUUCACUGAUUCUCAGGUAAGCAACGUGAUUUUUCCAUGUGUUGACUCAAUCUGGAAAAGUCAAGCUUACAAAUGCUUUAAGGGAUGGUUGAUGGAAUUGAAUCACAGGAGUAUUGGUUGUCCAGACCUUUUUAGGGACCUUCUAAGAGUUAGAUUUGACAUGAAAUCAAUUGUUUUGUACAUUGUACUGUCAUUGCUAGAAUUGUUGAUCUCGAGCUGCAUCCUCCACAAUAGUGGCUUCAAAUAUUGGUCAUAACUAUUGGCAAUUAAUGGUGAAUCCCAGUCCAUCAGGGCUCACAUCGUCGCCAACCCCAAUUGCGCGUGUGGGGCGAAGGCAAGCGCGGACGGACUGAUCGCAACCCGACGCUACGCACCACCAUCUCCAACAUCCUCGCCGUCAGGGCCAGCGGCGCUCCGAGCAGAACAAAAAACCAGAGGAGCUUCGUCUCAAGCAAUGUGGGCACGCCUCAAACUCAAAGUCUGGCCGCCGUGUGGGAGAGCGGCAUCAUCCAUGUACGCCUCUUCCAAGAAGGGCACGGCCUUGGAGGAGCACAAUGAUGGAAUAGUCGACGCUGGCUCCUGCGGCAUGAGCCAGGAAAGGGGCAGGAGACGGGCAUGGCAGAGGCGCGCACUAGACAUGCAGAUCAUGGAUACGGGUACAACGCUGUAUUUCCCUCGGGAUGCUAUGAUCCUUUUCUUGGUGGGAUGCAGUGGUCGCACGACCCUUUCAUGUACUGCGGCUGCGGUGGGCGGUGGCAUGGCUUACGCUUACAUUACCUGAUGGAUCAUGCACACCAUCGACGCCAUCGGCAGCAUGACAGUACCACCACCAUGGCACAACGGCAGAUUGUAUGGCUGCGACGACAACAACUGGAGGCGCACAAAUAGUAAGCUUCAGAGCUUCAGGAUGAGGUGUGGCGAAGGCAGAUUACAGGUGGCGUUAGUUUUGACACGGGGUACAAACUAGCUGGUGCUCAAACACCCAAUGCAGAGUUUUGCAUGCGUAUGAGAGUAUGAGGAUAAAAGUAUUGUAUAUGGUCAGUCGAGGAUAAAAGUCUAUUUAUCAACUUGGUUAAUCUGGUUGUAGUCAAGAGGAAAUCUAGGGGGUGCUUCCUUCACUUCAGUAUUUGCCAUUGAUAUUGGCAGUUCUCUAUAGUACUCUGUUUGUAUUACUUUUACCUUUUUUCCUCCAUGUUUGAGUACUUGCAUUGCUAUUGCUUCUGACUUUAUUCUAUGAUGCAUGCUAUUGACGACAGCGCCUCAAUGUGAACGUUUCAAUCAUUUGAUAAACGUUCUGGAACCUGUGGCCAAUACUUCUUAUUGGAUUUUAAGUUCCGUCACCCAUAUACCGUCAGGUACUAUAACAAGGCUAUUGUUAAUAUCAUCAUUAAUUCUGGCUGCCCAUCUAAAAGUUAACCUUUCCUGACCUUACACUUGCACGCAACUCUAUCAUUAUUGCUUACAAGGGGCGGCUUAGUGAUUCAAUCUCUGACUAUAAGGCAGCUUAGUGAUUGUCAUGUUUGUUUUGCACAAAUCAAAAGAAAAUUGUUUUGGUACUUGAAACUGUUUGAGUGGUAAAAUAUUUUUUAGCCUUUUAAGCAUAAAUUUAUUUAUUUGUACCCGUUGCAACGCACGGGCCUUUUUUCUAGUUUCUAGUCUCUCCCUAAUAAUAAAGCACGGAUCGGGUAUCCGGGUUCACCGUCGCGGCAGUUUUGCUAAACCCCCCUCAAGUUUCUGGUAAUUAACCCGCGCUCCAGAUUUAAGUUAGUAGUAAUAAGUAAAAAAACGAUUCGUUCUCACCCGAACGGACGGACGCAACGCCCGUCUCCGCCUGCCCCAAUCCCGACUCCAGGCCGUCGUCCCCAACACACCAUGAGGACGAAGAUGGCGGCGACGCUGGUCCGGGCCUCCGGGGGGAUCGGACCUCCUACGCCUGCCCGAUCCUCCUACUUCUCCUCGCACUGCUCCUUGCUGUCCCCGCUCGCGGCCAUCUCCAACGCCUCCUCCCACGCCUACGCCUUCGCGGGCCGUCAGCCGGUGCUCGCCCCGGAUCCCACCUUCUUCGACGAUGUCAUCGACGCCAUCGUCGACAAGUACGGCUGGGACCCCGACGCAGAGGUCCGGGUUUGGUCGCUCGACGCCGAGGGCGCGCUCGUCGACGCCGUGCAGUGCUACGAGUUCCCCGCCCGCAUGGGGCCCCGCAGUCGCGCUGGCGCGGGCCUCCGACGGGGCCGUCGAUUGGAGCCGCCCCGACGCCCCCGCGGUGGAGGAGGUGGUCGGGCCUGACGGGGUCGACUUCGUGACCGGCGAUGGCGACCUGGCAUUCGGCUCCGGCGUUAGGGUCCGUGACAUGGUAGGGCCGUUCGAGCUGGUGGUCUGCGAUGGCGCUGGCAGGGGCCGCGCAGAGCUCCAGUUGCCGUCGGUGAGUGCUGUUUGACUUUUAUCUUUGUUGCUUUAGUUUUUUUGCUUCUGCUUGCUUGCUUGCUAUGCUCUUGAAGUUGUGUGGCCUGUAAGAUGAAGCAGUUACUACAAUUGGUGAAUGGUCUAGCUGCUGCUUAUCCCUUUUCUGUUUCUGACUUUGAAUUGAUUGCAUUUGUUGUAGUGUCUGCACCACCGCCCGUUGAUUAGAAUGCAUGUUCCGGCAGUCCACGCAUCGAUCACUGGCAAAUUAAAAAGGCAUGAACGCACUAAACAGAAAUUCUGUGUAGAUGAUUCUUGUAUAUGGCAGUGGCACAUGCGCUGGUUGAUGAAGCCGCUGGGCCGGAAGGCCCUCUCAUUGCCAUGCUAAUGAGUAUCACGAUGAACAUGCCCCCCACCUCAAUGCCUCCCUGUCGGCGGUGAGGUCUAGCCGGAUCUGUACAACCCGCAAUAUUAGUAAAGAAAAAGAAUAGCUUGAUUGUUCUAUGACUCUGUCGUGGAUAGGUAAUUUGCAUCAGAGGUCUAUAGGAUCUCUGCCAUUAGUUUCCCAUUAGAAAAUUGAGUUACUAAAUUAAGGAAGAUGUCCAAAGAGAGGUAAUCGUUGGCAUGAUAUGCAUCAGAAGAUCCUCAUCAUUGAAGUAGUACUCCACCAGUCCACCUACAGUUUUGGAACAUAUAAAUACGGCAUCAAAGUGCUACCUGGCACCAAAUAAAGAGUUCAGGUCAGGGUGUUAUACUGCAGCUAAGUAGUAUAGUCUGAAUUUCUAACUUUGAGGAGGAUUUCAGUGUUUCUAAAGAAAGGGACAAGGAUCAGGGCUAUAAAAUUGUUGAAAGACUCAGAGACAUGUACCAUGAAUUGGGUAUAUUCCGCAAGCUGCGGCACACAUGGUCUGCCUUCGUGUCGUCCUACCUGCUUCAGGGCCCUCUACUUCUUCCCCCAAGAUUGCCAUUAUGAUUAACAAAUCUGACGAGAGCAAUUUAAUUGGUGACACAUCAUAUUUAUUCUGCAACUGCAUGUGAAUUCUCAUCUUGCGCCUACCUCUUUUGCUUACCAGUGAAGAUGGAGAGCUUUAGGCAAAAAAAGAAAGAAAAAAAACUAGCACGUGAUCUAUGGAGAAUAAUUUUGACAGCAACUCCAACUAUGCAAUGGAGUACACUUGAUGCGAUCAAUUCUGGUGUGUGUGUGUGUGUGUGUGAUGCAAUGACGUAUGAAUAACGACAGAAAAAUAUGCCUGAGGAGUAUGGAAACGCUGAUCUUGAAAUCUUGAUCCUACUUAUAGGCCGUAUUGCAAGCAAUGUACUCAUGUUUUACUGAACAUGUAGGUAACAUGAAAUUUUGAUCUUCUCCCAUCACUGAAAGUUGUGUUUUAAACUUGCAAAAGCAUUGCUAAGACUAUUCAAUCAUUUCUAUUUUACCCUAGAUUUCACUCCAUACCAUAAUUGAGAUACAAAUGGGCGUUACUGAUGUCGAGGAGAAGAGUUAGAAGCUCUUGGAUUGAGAAUCUGAGAUUUAUAUAGGUUCAGUAGAACAAAAAGUUUCGGAUUCACUACUCCAGAUACAACGAUGCGGUAUAUAUAGUUAACUUCGUACUUUAUAUUACCAAUUUUUCUUCCUCCCAGAGUUCUUCGGAUAUAAUCUACACCUGAAACAAUAAAUUGUUAAAAGCAAGGAAAAGUAACAAGUUCUGCAAAUUAGUUUCAUGAGGAGAGAACUGGCUGAAAUGAAGCUAAUACCGAUGUACUGAAUAUCCUGCAGUGGUUAGUAUACUAAAGAGUAAAACUGCAUGUUUUUGUCAUAUCUGAAACCCUUUUCUGCUCCAUACUUUACGUAAACAAUGCCUGUGCAUUGGCAUAAGAAUCAUAGAUUGAAAAAUCAUCAUCCAUUGUCAUUCGUCACCCUGGCAAUGAUGCAUUUGCUAUUCAGAAGACUUCUUGUCCGGUUUAGUGUGUGAUUUGUUACUAUGAUAAGGAAACAUUUCCUCAACCCAUCUUUCACUACACACACAGGUUGCACAGAGGAGUAUAAGGAUUUCUUCAUCGGGCCAGUCCACGUGGAAGAUGUCGCGUUAGCCCAUAUCACGUUGUUUGAAAACCCGGCUGCAUCCGGGAGGCACCUCUGUGUGGAGCCCAUAUGUCACUUGAGCAAUUUCGCGUCCCAAGUCGCGGAGCUCUACCCCGACUACGAAGUCCCGAAAUUACCUGAGGACACGCAGCCUAGGCUGGUGAGGGUGGAGGUGGUGCCGAAGAAGCUGAUGGCACUGGGCCUGCAUUUCACUCCUUUGGAAAAGAUCAUCAAGGAUGCGGUGGAGAGCCUUCGGAGAAGAGGAUGCAUCGCCUGAUGGCUGGAUUAUUAGUUGUACCAUAUUCCUUCCCUUCUGUUGUAGGGUCAUGAUCAACCCUUGCUCCAGAGAUAUGUUGUGCCCAGCCCAGUGCUAGACCUUAUAGUUGCCCGUACGAUUGUGCAAUAACGGCUGGUUGAUCUACUGGUACACCUGUCUGUUCUUGCUA